GGUUCAAGCGGGCAGAGAGACGGUGGCAGAACCUGCGGGCUAGGUGGGAGGCUCACCCGCAGGGAGGAAGGGAAGCCAGGACCGCUGCUGCCGGGGAGCGAGGAGACGCUUGGAGUCCAGGGGUCAGGCCGCCGCCACCUCUUCCUGCAGCGGAGAUAGCGCAGCCAGCGGGCGCACUGGCCGCAACGGCAACCCUGCGCGCAGGGAGGAGGAGGAGGAGAGUGGCUCGAGGAGACUUGAUUUUCUUGGAUUUGCUGCCAGUCCUUAAACCAAAUCAGGCAUUCGGGGCGUUAAAGUAAAUUACCGGUGGCAGUGUAGAAGCCAAAACGGGAGCUUCCAGAAGUGGUUUCUGAAAAAUAAGAGUGAAUAUACACGAGUAAGCAAGCACAGCAAUCUGAAAAACCACAGAUGGAGAAACUGAGUCCCGAAAGGUUGCAACAUCCUUGAAGUUAUACAAAGAACUAAAGUGGCAUAUGACUUAUCUAGGAGGUAAAGAUGAGAAUAGCUUCUACUUGAUUGGUGCCCUCUUGAAGAGAAAUACUUUUGGUCAGCUUGCUUGUUCCUGGAGACAGAAAUUGAGUUGCAAGACCUCAGAAGUUUGUCCUGUGUUCCCAUCUGCCCUCCAAACGGGGUUCUCUUCUUCAGCAUUCUAAGUGGUCAUAGAUUUGUAAAAGUCAAACCCUGAGUGAAAUCUUUGAAGAGGAUGAGAAGGGAAAAGAGGAAGUGAAGGAUUAGAUUGAGAUUGAGGUAAGCAUAACAGCAUAACAAAAGAGCUUAAAGAAUUGAGGUGUGGAGGGCAAAUACAGUAACCUUGGCACUGUUAAUAGACAGUGACUUGGUGAGUAACUUAUACCUAGAUUUCCCUUUCCUUAGAACCUGCUACCCCAUUUACUUCCCCUGAGCUGCAAUGUUUCUCUAAUGGAGGAGAGACAAAAGAAGUUGGCUUGCAAUUUGCUGCCUAAUCUAAUAUUUGGUUCUCAUGUACUCACUUAACAGAUGUGAUUGAACACGUGAACGUUAGACCCUGGGCAAGAUGCUGGGGCCAGUGUAGUAGGCAAGACAGACUCAGAGCCCUCUUCUAAUGUAGGAAUGCACACUGGCCUGUAGGAAUGAAAAGCAGAUAACUCUUUAGAAAACUUUCGUAGGAAAAGCGCCUCGUGUGAUCUGGAACAAAGACAUUUUAUAAUCAGAUUUAUCAAGCUGUGAAGAGGGAGUUUUAGCGAACGGAAGCAGCAGCAUUCUGUCACCAAGAAAUACUGCUUUAUCCAGAAUUGAGCCCUUCCCCAGAAGGCUGCGGAUCAUCUAGCUGCUGGAAAGUGUAGGUACCCUCAAU